GAGUUUGAUCAUGGUUCAGAUCGAACGCUGGCGGCAUGCCUAACACAUGCAAGUCGAACGGUAACAGGUCUUCGGACGCUGACGAGUGGCGGACGGGUGAGUAAUGCGUAGGAAUCUGUCUUUUAGUGGGGGACAACCCAGGGAAACUUGGGCUAAUACCGCAUGAGCCCUGAGGGGGAAAGCGGGGGAUCUUCGGACCUCGCGCUAAGAGAGGAGCCUACGUCCGAUUAGCUAGUUGGCGGGGUAAAGGCCCACCAAGGCGACGAUCGGUAGCUGGUCUGAGAGGACGACCAGCCACACUGGGACUGAGACACGGCCCAGACUCCUACGGGAGGCAGCAGUGGGGAAUUUUUCGCAAUGGGGGCAACCCUGACGAAGCAAUGCCGCGUGGAUGAAGAAGGCCUUCGGGUUGUAAAGUCCUUUCGUGGAGGACGAAAAGGUGGGUUCUAAUACAAUCUGCUAUUGACGUGAAUCCAAGAAGAGCACCGGCUAACUCCGUGCCAGCAGCCGCGGUAAUACGGGGGUGCAAGCGUUAAUCGGAAUCACUGGG
rnacentral:rRNA from 1 species